rfam:Ixodes scapularis strain Wikel colony gcontig_1108379432462, whole genome shotgun sequence.
GCAGUCGUGAAUGAGCGGUUAAGGCGAUGAACUAGAAAUCCAUUGGGGUCUCCCCACACAGGUUCGAAUCCUGUCGACUGCG